rnacentral:ribozyme from 1 species
UCAUUUUCUUAUAUCUAAUGGGGACAUCUUUUUUAUAAUAUGAAAAAUAAAACUAUAUGCUGGAAACUCCUAUGUAAAUAUAGCUAUUAUUAAUCGCUAUAGGACAAUCAGCAGGAAACCGAAACGAAAAUUUCCCUAUAAAUCUAGUUAUAUGUACUUAAUUUAGACAAAGUUAACAUAGUUAAGGGAUCCUCAACGACUACACGUUUUAUACCUCUCUUGUCUAACUAGUAAGAAAAUAGAGAGGUAGUGAUAUAGUCUACUCCACAUAGCAAUAUGUGG